CACGUAGGGCGCAAGCGUUGUCCGGAAUUAUUGGGCGUAAAGAGCUCGUAGGUGGUUUGUUACGUCCGCUGUGAAAUCCUAGGGCUUAACCCUGGGCUUGCAGUGGAUACGGGCAGACUAGAGGUAGGUAGGGGAGAAUGGAAUUCCUGGUGUAGCGGUGAAAUGCGCAGAUAUCGAGAGGAACACCAGUGGCGAAGGCGAGUCCCUGGACAGGUCCUGACGCUGAGGCACGAAAGCUGGGGGAGCAAACCGG
rnacentral:rRNA from 1 species